CCUACGGGUGGCUGCAGUGAGGAAUAUUGGUCAAUGGGCGCGAGCCUGAACCAGCCAAGUCGCGUGAGGGAGGACGGCCCUACGGGUUGUAAACCUCUUUUGCCGGGGAGCAACGGGCGUCACGUGUGGCGCCACUGAGAGUACCCGGAGAAAAAGCAUCGGCUAACUCCGUGCCAGCAGCCGCGGUAAUACGGAGGAUGCGAGCGUUAUCCGGAUUUAUUGGGUUUAAAGGGUGCGUAGAUGGGUUGUUAAGUCAGUUGUGAAAGUUUGCGGCUCAACCGUAAAAUUGCAAUUGAUACUGGCAGUCUUGAGUACAGUUGAGGUAGGCGGAAUUCGUGGUGUAGCGGUGAAAUGCAUAGAUAUCACACAGAACACCGAUUGCGAAGGCAUCUCACGAAUCCGCGAUUGACGCUGAUGCACGAAAGCGUGGGUAUCAAACAGGAUUAGAUACACCAGUAGUC
rnacentral:rRNA from 1 species